rnacentral:lncRNA from 1 species
GUGCCGGGCACGCGCCCUAAUCUCUCAAACGGCGGCAGGAAACAUCUGCCGUCUCCGUUUGGCGGUCGCCAGAGGCCCAGUUCUGGAAGCUGGAAGUCCAACAGCCAGGCGCUGACAGGGGUCAGAGCUGAUCGCCUGCUCAUGCCAAGCUUCCUCCCACGGGGCCUUCCGAAGCUUUCCACAGCUUCAACAUCAACGGCACUUUUGUCUGCCCACUUGGGGGAGAGGGCUGGAGGCUCUGUUUUUUGUGUCCUUGGUGGAUCCAGCCCAAGUUUGAAGGACCCAUGGACCUGUUCAGUUUCCCCAGAUGGCCCCGCUCCAAGAACAGCUCAGAAGCCAAGGAAACCGAAAUCCCCGCCUCUGUAGCCAAAAUGGACAGGCUGUUUCCUGAUACCCCGUGUGUGUGUGUGCGUGUGCGCGAGUGUGUGUGUGUGAAGUGAGUCCUGACCUGCAAGUCUGUUUCUGUGAUACUAUGAAACAGCCCAGUGCAUAGUCCACACUGUUUUCCUCCUGCUCUCGUGCAAAUAAAUGAUCCAUCGCUCUGUGGCUGACUCAGUUGUCAAGAAGAAUAAGUGACUGUGAAUAAAAACUUUUGCAAAUGAAUCCAA